UUCGGUUGAUCCUGCCGGAGGCUACCGCUAUUGGAGUUCGAUUAAGCCAUGCGAGUCGCGAGUCUUAGGGACUCGGCGUACCGCUCAGUAACACGUGGGUAACCUGCCCUAUGCUGGGGGAUAACCUCGGGAAACUGAGAAUAAUACCCCAUAGUUCACCACGCCUGGAACGGUGGGUGGACCAAAGCUCCGGCGGCAUAGGAUGGGCCUGCGGCGUAUCAGGUUGUAGGGGGUGUAAUGUACCCUCUAGCCCUCUACGCGUACGGGUGUUGAGAGACAUCGCCCGGAGAUGGAUUCUGAGACACGAAUCCAGACCCUACGGGGUGCAGCAGGCGCGAAAACUUGGCAAUGCGAGAAAUCGUGACCAGGGAACUCCAAGUGCAUCGGGUAAGACCGAUGCUUUUCUUGACUCUUCAAAGGUCUUGGAAUAAGGGGUGGGUAAGGACGGUGCCAGCCGCCGCGGUAAUACCGGCGCCCCAAGUGGUAGUCGCUUUUAUUGGGCCUAAAACGUCCGUAGCCGGUCUGGUACAUUCGUGGGUAAAUCAACCAGCUCAACUGGUUGAAUUCUGCGAGCACGGCCAGACUUGGGACCGGGAGAGGUGUGGGGUACUCUCAGGGUAGGGGUAAAAUCCUGUCAUCCUGAGAGGACCACCUGUUGCGAAGGCGCCACACUAGAACGGAUCCGACGGUCAGGGACGAAGCCUAGGGGCACGAACCGGAUUAGAUACCCGGGUAGUCCUAGGUGUAAACGCUGUGGACUUGAUGUUGGGGGCGCUCCGAGCGCACUCAGUGUCGAAGCGAAGGUGAUAAGUCCACUGCCUGGGGAGUACGGUCGCAAGGCUGAAACUUAAAGGAAUUGGCGGGGGAGCACCGCAACCUGAGGAUUGUGCGGUUUAAUUGGAUUCAACGCCGG
rnacentral:rRNA from 1 species